rnacentral:rRNA from 2 species
UACGAAGGGGGCUAGCGUUGUUCGGAAUUACUGGGCGUAAAGCGCACGUAGGCGGGUAUUUAAGUCAGGGGUGAAAUCCCAGAGCUCAACUCUGGAACUGCCUUUGAUACUGGGUACCUAGAGUAUGGAAGAGGUAAGUGGAAUUCCGAGUGUAGAGGUGAAAUUCGUAGAUAUUCGGAGGAACACCAGUGGCGAAGGCGGCUUACUGGUCCAUUACUGACGCUGAGGUGCGAAAGCGUGGGGAGCAAACAGG